GACGAACGCUGGCGGCGUGCUUAACACAUGCAAGUCGAACGAGUGGCGAACGGGUGAGUAACACGUGGGUAAUCUGCCUUGCACUUCGGAAUAAGCUUGGGCAACUGGGUCUAAUACCGGAUAGUGCAAGAUGAGCUCGCGGACUAUCAGCUUGUUGGUGGGGUCAUGGCUACCAAGUCGCGACGGGUAGCCGGCCUGAGGGGGUGGACGGCCACAGUGGGACUGAGAGACGGGCCAGACGCCUACGGGAGGCAGUAGGGGGGAAUAUGGCGCAAUGGGCGGAAGCGUGAUGCAGCGACGCUGGGUGGGUGAUGAAGGCCUUCGGGUUGUAAACUCCUUUCGACAUGGAUGCGGUACCUGUAUAAGAAGCACCGGCUAACUACGUGCCAGCAGCCGCGGUAAUAC
rnacentral:rRNA from 1 species